rnacentral:rRNA from 1 species
AUGAAGGAGAGGAGAUGGCCUGGGAACCCCAAAUGCCCUUUUUGUGAUGAUAUUGAAUCGUCUCGACAUUUGUUUUUCACAUGUCCUGUGGCUAGAGUGGUUUGGCGUUGUGUUAGGAUGGCUCUAGGGACUGACUUAUGCCCGAGCAGUUAUUGGCAGUAUUUCUCCUGGUGUCACACUUUCCUUCCUUCUGGGAAGAAGUACUAUACUGUUGGCCCCACUGUCGUUUGCUGGGCUAUCUGGCUUUCUCGGAAUCGAUCCACUUUUGAAAAACAGAUCAAGACACCGUUUGAGAUUGUGUUUUCCAUGUGCUCCUUUUUGUUAUAUUGGGCAGGUCUGCAACAAGGAAAAGGAAUCAAGGAGUUGCGCAGCGGGGCGGCGGUGGUCAGGUCGAGCAUUGUGAGUAUACCUGGCCAUGGGUCGGGCUGGGCUGGGCUUGGGCCGGGCCUUAAAAAGCUCAUGGCAGAAAACUAA